UUCACCCUCUGUUGCAGAGUCUGAGCCAGCUCUUGGAGGUCUCUUUUGAAUAUAAGAUCCCUCUACCUAAAGAGAAGUUUCAAGCCAUCUGCAGUGCUCUGCACAACCAGAUCUGUUCUCAAGCUAAGCCGCUCAGCACGGAAAAUCACGCAGAGCUGUUGGAUUGUGUAGUGCUGCUAGCCCGUUCUUCUCCUGAUGAUCUGAUAGCAUUUCUGCACUCGCAGCUGAAGAUUGAGAAUGAGGCUGUUCGUGUGGCCUCAUUGAAUCUGCUCAGAG